AAUGAACAGUAAAUACAGGGAACAAUAGUAAAUAGAGGACACACCUCUCCUCCACGUCUGAGAAUGAUUCAGGCCACGCGUCUGAUGUGAAACCCAAUAUCAAACCCUAAACCUACUACACCCCACACACCGGAACGAUGAGAAAGAUCAGAAAGAAGGAGAGAGAGAGAGAAAGGUAGCUGGCCAUGUCCCAUGUGUGUGCCGGAACGGCGGCGUUGCCUAUCACUGGUGGUGUGGUGGUGGUUAGAGAGAUUAUCAGUGUGUGGUGGUGUCGGAUUCAGGGUGCGGUUCCGGUGGUGACGGAAUCAGGGUGCGGGUCCGGUGGUGAUUAGCGGCGUAGAGAAGAUGAUAGGGUUCCGGUGAAGGUCCGACAAAGUUACGGUACCACGGGUGUCAGGAUCAACAUGAACAGACGACACCACGGGUGUCGGGAUCUUUGCCGGUGAGAGAUCUGAAUGUUUUAGGGUUCCGACGAAGUCAGCUUAGCUCCGGUGAGAACCUGCUUUCCUGAACCAGAUUAGUGUUUAUGAAAAAGGGGAACGCAUCCGGCAAACGCAAUAGGUUGUGGUGUCAUCUAGAGGGCGGUGUUCAUCAUCAAUCGGUGGUGUUCGAUUGUUUAUUAGGGCAGUGGUAAGUGGAAUUGGUACUAAAGCAAUCGAUUGGUUGUGUUCAAUGGUUUAGUGCAGUGUGCAUCACUGUUGUUUGGUCUCUACAUUCUGAAUUGGUUGCGUGUGAUGUGGAAACAAAAAUGAUGCUUCCAGCAUUUUUCAUGAACAACAUACAGAGAUUGUGCGUUAUAUUUUGGUCUCAACAGCAUUUGUCAUGAACAAGGAGUCAACUGAUCGGAGUUUGACUGAAUCUGAGUUUUCGACAGUACUUUAUGCUAUUCAUGAGGUUGUAAGCAUUAACAAUAAGAUCUGGACGACUUUCAAACCUUUUUACUCAUUUUGACUUGACGCAUUUGAGAUAUAAUACAAUGCAAUUCAGCCAAUCUCGGACGGUGAGCGGAAAAUGUUUAAUUUUGUGCGGGUGAGGCAUCAGCUAUUCUCUUACCAUAAAACUCUCAAAAUCAUGCUCCCAAAGAUAAGUGCAGGUGGUUCUCUAUCUAAUAUAUUAGAUCAGUGUAUGGUAUGUUUUGCCAUAUGUAUGUGACUUUAAAACAUCUCUAAUUUUGUUAUUAAAACCCAAUAUUAAUCCUCUUUGUGCCUCACAGUAUCGCGCCAUGAGACUUGGUUGGGUUGGAUUGUAUUUUCGUGGCUUGCUUCCACCUCUCUUUGAAGGAGGUAACAGUUAUACUGGUCAUAGUAAUUCACCUGUUUACACAAUGCAUAACACUUAUUUGUUAAAUCGUAUCACCAAAUAUAAAAUCAAUGUCGCAUGAUUCUGCUUAGGGGUGCCCCAAUGGUUUAUUAGUGAUGGAAGGGGGGGUUGUUCGACGCUGGGUUUAAGGGCGGUUUGUGGUGGACAUGGUGGUUGGAGAUACGACAGUCACUGGCACCGUUUUCUAUAACCAAUGUAAAGAUGGCCAGUUUGAUGCUCAAGAUUAUCCUCUUGGUGGUGAAGACAUUAGCGACACAAAGAAGACUAGGUGCCCGGACGUGUGAAGUAAAAAACUUUUGUGAUCUACGUAUAAACGGAAGAUUAUGUAAAUGUUAAAACUGUACUUCUAUAAUUCUCUAAUAUGUCACGUAUAAGUAAAAUGUUCAAACCGUGAACGAUUCGGCUUAGCGCGCUGCAACGCAAGCGUGGGUAUAAACCUAGUUUGUAUUAA